UUAGUACUCCCUCCGUCCUAAAAUUCUUGUCUUAGUUUUGUCUAAAAAUGAAUUUAUCUAAAUACUAAAACUUGACUAGAUACAUUCGUAUCUAAACAAAUCUAAGACAAGAAUUUUGGGACGAAGGAACUAUUAG
rfam:Hordeum vulgare subsp. vulgare, WGS project CAJW01000000 data, contig: morex_contig_1632582